rnacentral:rRNA from 1 species
UACGUAGGGUGCGAGCGUUGUCCGGAAUUAUUGGGCGUAAAGGGCUCGUAGGCGGUUUGUCGCGUCGGGAGUGAAAACACCGGGCUUAACUCGGUGCUUGCUUUCGAUACGGGCAGACUAGAGGUAUGCAGGGGAGAACCGAAUUCCUGGUGUAGCGGUGAAAUGCGCAGAUAUCAGGAGGAACACCGGUGGCGAAGGCGGUUCUCUGGGCAUGAUCUGACGCUGAGGAGCGAAAGUGUGGGGAGCGAACAGG